AACUCACUUGGGUUGCGUUGCUGUUCUGUGGGCGGUUUGUUCUUUUGCUGUUUGCAAUAACUUUUGCUGCUGCUUACUUUUUGGGUCCACACUGCUUUUAUGAGCUGUAACACUCACCACGAAGGUCUGCAGCUUCACUUCUGAAGCCAGCGAGACCACGAACCCACCGGGAGAGAACAAACAACUCCAGAAGCACCGCCUUAAGAGCUGUAACACUCACCGAGAGGGUCCGCUGCUUCAUUCUUGAAGUCAGUGAGACCAAGAACCCACCAAUUCCGGACACGAUGGUGCUGCCAAACCAGCCUGGAAAACGCGGCCUUCUGGACUUCUUGUACUGUGCGACUCCAGUCCCUGACCCCACCAGGAAAAGGCAGAGGCACCUGAUUUCCCCGCACCUGUGGAGCUGCAGGGGGUGUCUGGGUCUCCAACUCCAGUGGGGAAUGAUGUUCAACUUCCUGUUAUGCUGGGAUCCACCUGCGGGUGAGAAUGAAGGGCUUGGAGCCUUGACCCUGGAUGGAGACAUGUCUUCCCUUUCACAGGAGAUCAUAAAACCAGAGCUGACAGCAAAGAUGGUCCUUCCUGAGGGUGAAAUGAUGGUAACACUGACAAAUACGGGCGUAAUCUCAACACAAGCUCAAAGAAAAAGCAGAUUCAUGGAGAGAUGAACAGCUGAGAGUUUCAAUCUUUUUGUUGGCACUGCUCUUGAACUCCUGGCCUCAAGCAAUCAUCCCACCUUGGCCUCUUGAAGCUCUACAGGCAUGAGCCACCACUCCUGGCCUUUCCUUGUUAUUAGUCUUCUCAAAUUCCAUGUUCCUGGCAGCUGUGAUGGACAGAUUUUACUGGUGACGUUGGAGCAACACAGACUUUGGCUCCCAGGUAUCUGAGACUGCAGGAAAGUUAACCAGCAACAGCGUUGGGGCUAGGGAAGGGCAAAGCUCUCGGAGACCUUGAGAGUGAAGCUUGGAAGUCCCCACCUUCAUUCGAGCCUCUGGCUCAGGCUGGGAGAGAAGAUGGAGUCGGUCCUGGAAGGUUCGGUGGUGAAAGAGGAUGACAGGACAUUUCCAAAUCGUCAUAGGAAGGUGAAGAAGUGGCAAGUACAUGGCUGAGAGCAGGGGUCUGGUGCAGGGUGACCUAAUCCAGUCCUGAUGAUGCCGAUUUCUACACAAGCAACCACCUUUCUGUGCCUCUGUGUUUUCAUCUGCAAAAUGGGAACAGUGAUGUAUAGUAGUGCCUGUUUUGGAGAGUACAUGAUUUAAUACACAUGGAGUAUGGGGAACAGCGCCUGGCCUAAAGUGAAUCCAAGAUAACAAUGGCCUUGUUUCAUUACACGUGGUCCUGGCUGGGAAGAAAAGACACUACAGUGUGAUAAGAGGGGCCUUGGGGGACCUGACCUGGGCCCUGGGCCUGGGCGAGGAGGUGAUGAGGACACAGGAGAAUCCCCCCAAGGAGGUGACAUUCAUCUGAGACCUAACAGGUGACGAGGUUCCUGGAGGUAACUGGGUGAGGAUCAGGGUGGGGGUGGGGAACAUACCAGGAGGAAGGGCCAGCACGUGCCAAGGCCCUGAGGUUCCUGGAAGCCUGGUCUGUCCAAGGCCAGCGGAGAGACCAGUGUGGCCAUGACCGAGUGGACACAGGAGUGAGUGGUGCGAGGUGGGACUGGAAGGGGGCAGGGACCUGUGGGGGUUUGGAUGCCAUCCUGAGGUCCAAGGGCAGCCUCUGUGGUUUGAUGGGUCCGAUCUUUCUCUUUGGACGUCCCCAUGGGAGGGCCUCCUUGUCUAGGGCUGAACCUUUCCUCCCCAUUCCCACCAUGUCCUGUUUCACAGGUAAGAACCUGUGUGGGAGGGAGACUCUGUUUCAGGGCCUUGGCCACAUCUCAGAAGAAAAUCUGAGAAGACCGUUUUCAGGAAAUGCUUGGCCGGGAAGUCUGCCAUGGGAAGCAGUGGUCUGAGAUCCAGGGAACAGCAUUGGCCUAAACCUGCAGGCACCAUCGCAAAGGGGAGUCAGCUCAGGUAAACCCGCUGGUGAAGCAUGAUUCCAGCGUGGGGACACAGAGGCUGACGUAUCUUGCUGUAGGUGAUUUAAUGUUGGGCCUCAGUAUUUCACUACCCCUGUAAGAGUAUGACACAUCCACAUCCUUACCAGGGCCCGAGGGAGGGUGGAUAGACUUAUCCAUCCCAUAGGUAUUGCUCGUGGCUGGGUAACUUGCUUAUGCCAACAAGAUUUUCAUAGACACGGCACAGGCAGAAGCCUGGAAUGUGUUGGCACUGCCAGGCCUGCCCCCUAAUGCUCUUGAUUUUUCCCACGAGACGAGCGUGCCCCAGGGAACUUCGGCUCCAGCUGCAGGAUGAGAGGCGUGUGGAGCACGCAGGGUUCCAACCCUCAGCCUGGAGUCAAGCCCAGACUAGAUCAGCCUAAGCCCAGCCAAGCCACGGGUGCAGGAGUGAAAAGCAAAUGCUAACUGUCCAUGACAUUGACUUUCAAAGGGGCGUGUCAUGUUAUGUGGCUCAUCCCAGCAACAAUGAAGAUAUUUCUCUAUCAGUCAGUCGGUAAAUAAUUAUUGACAAUGUGCUAGGAAGGUGGAGUGAUUGGAGUAGAUUUGGUCCCUAUUCUUAUGGAGCUUACUUUCUAGAGGGCAAGACAGAUGAUAGGUGAAUAAAUAUAAAUUAUUCUAUUAGGUCGAUGCAGCAGUAAUUCCAGCUUUUGCCAGUAAAGGUAAUGGCAAUCAAAAGCGGGGAGGAGCCGGCGCUGCCGUUCAUUAAAAGUAAUGACAAAAACUGCGAUGACUUUUGCACCAACCUAAUAGAAUAAAUUACGAGUGCGCAAAACGCUGUGAUGGGAAAGUUCCAAGUGCCAGGAUAGCAUCUAGCUUCCUGGAGUCAGGAGAUGGGGGUUUUCAACCUAAGCAAGGUUAAGUCCAAGUGGUGGGGGCAGGCGGGGGGUGAUAUUUCAGUGGAGACUCCAAGGAUGAACGGAAAUUAGAAAAGUGAACGCAGAUGGUGAGGGGGGAAGGGUUUCAGGCACAGAGAACAGCAUGUGCAAAGGCCUUGGGGGAGGACACCGUGUGUUCAUGGACUGAGGGGCGGCCAGCAGGCUGGAGCUGAGCGGGUUGAGGAGGAUGGGGAGCCGGGGAAAGGCGCUCCACGCAGGGGGCACAGCAGGGGCAAAGGCCCGGAGUCAGGCCUGAGCCUGUGUGGUUUCAGGAAGUGACAGAGGCCUGUCUGGGAGGAAAGUAAUGGCAGAGGGGAGACCAUAAGGUCAGGGCAGAGGGCAGGGCCGUGCUGGGCACUGUGGGCUGUGGAUAGGACCUGGCAUUUAUGCUCGGGUGAGGGGAACUUGUUAGAAGAUUUUAAGGAGGGCAGGAACAUCUGGGGAUAAUGUGUAUUCUAGGAAUCUCAACCAAGUAAAUUCAUAGUUUGAAUGUUCACAAGACUUCUGCACAGGCAAAGUG